rnacentral:misc_RNA from 1 species
GAAAUGCGAUACGUAAUGUGAAUUGCAAAUUCAGUGAAUCAUCGAGUCUUUGAACGCACCUUGCGCCCCCUGGUAUUCCGGGGGGCAUGCCUGUCCGAGCGUCAUUUCUGCCCUCAAGCACGGCUUGUGUGUUGGGCCCCGUCCUCCGAUCCCGGGGGACGGGCCCGAAAGGCAGCGGCGGCACCGCGUCCGGUCCUCGAGCGUAUGGGGCUUUGUCACCCGCUCUGUAGGCCCGGCCGGCGCUUGCCGAUCAACCCAAAUUUUUAUCCAGGUUGACCUCGGAUCAGGUAGGGAUACCCGCUGAACUUAAGC